rnacentral:rRNA from 1 species
AGCUCCAAUAGCGUAUAUUUAAGUUGUUGCAGUUAAAAAGCUCGUAGUUGGAUUUCGGGUGGGUGUCGCCGGUCUGCCUCUGGUAUGUACUGGCGCUGCUCACCUUUCUGCCGGGGACGGGCUCCUGGGCUUAACUGUCUGGGACUCGGAGUCGGCGUUGUUACUUUGAGUAAAUUAGAGUGUUCAAAGCAAGCCUUCGCUCUGAAUACAUUAGCAUGGAAUAACACGAUAGGACUCUGGCCUAUCU